UUUCAACUUUGCUUACACAGGUGUCUUCAAUGUCCUGGGUUUGCCUGUGACCCAAUGCCCACUGGGGCUGAAUGUCAAAGGACUUCCUCUAGGCAUCCAGGUUGUGGCUGGACCCUUUAAUGAUCAUCUGACCCUGGCUGUGGCCCAGUACUUGGAGAAAACUUUUGGGGGCUGGGUCUGUCCAGGAAAGUUUUAGGAGGACCUUCUGCAAGGUUUGCAAGGUUAAUGUGUGUGUGUGUGUGUGUGUGUGUGUGUGUGUGUGUGUGUGUGGUGGUGGUGGUGUUUCUAUUAGUUGGGUGAAAUCAAGCACCAGCAGGCAAGCAGAAAAACAACUGGGGAAUUUAUUGACUCAUUUAGUUACUCUUUCUACUUUUAUUUCCUUCUCUAACUGUUGGUCUUACUAAAAUGGUAAUAUUUGCUUCUUGCCUUUAUGUUACUGGAAAAUUAGGACAUGUAAAUGGACAAGUGCAAUAAAGUUUCCUAAAUGCUGAAA